CAUAUCAUGUUGAAACACCAGUUCUCAUACAGUAUGAUCACCAAAGUUAAGCAAUGUCAAGCCUGGUCAGUACUUAGAUGGGUGUCUACUUGAGAGUACCAAGUGUUGUAAG